UCUGGUGAUUAUUGAGCGGAAGCCACUCGCUGUUCCAUCCCGAACCAGGCCGAGAAACUCCGUAUCGCCAAUGGUACUUUGGCUUAAGCCACGGAAGAGUAGGUCGUCGCCAGAA
rnacentral:rRNA from 1 species